rfam:Picea glauca, whole genome shotgun sequence.
UCUUAUGUACAUUCCUACAACAUAGCGUUAAUGCAUCGGAUCCCAUUAUAACUCUGCAAUUAAGUGUGUUUGGGCUAGAGUAGUACUAGGAUGGGCGACCGCUUGGGAAGCCCUAGUAUUUUAUAUGCC